rnacentral:rRNA from 1 species
UAGGGAAUCUUCGGCAAUGGGGGCAACCCUGACCGAGCAACGCCGCGUGAGUGAAGAAGGUUUUCGGAUCGUAAAGCUCUGUUGUAAGUCAAGAACGAGUGUGAGAGUGGAAAGUUCACACUGUGAUGGUAGCUUACCAGAAAGGGACGGCUAACUACGUGCCAGCAGCCGCGGUAAUACGUAGGUCCCGAGCGUUGUCCGGAUUUAUUGGGCGUAAAGCGAGCGCAGGCGGUUUGAUAAGUCUGAAGUUAAAGGCUGUGGCUCAACCAUAGUUCGCUUUGGAAACUGUCAAACUUGAGUGCAGAAGGGGAGAGUGGAAUUCCAUGUGUAGCGGUGAAAUGCGUAGAUAUAUGGAGGAACACCGGUGGCGAAAGCGGCUCUCUGGUCUGUAACUGACGCUGAGGCUCGAAAGCGUGGGGAGCGAACAGGAUUAGAUACCCUGGUAGUCCACGCCGUAAACGAUGAGUGCUAGGUGUUGGAUCCUUUCCGGGAUUCAGUGCCGCAGCUAACGCAUUAAGCACUCCGCCUGGGGAGUACGACCGCAAGGUUG